UGAACGCUGGCGGCAUGCCUACCACAUGCAAGUCGCUCGGUAAGGCUCUUCGGAGUACACGAGAGGCGGACGGCUGAGUAACGCGUAGGAACACACCCUGCAGUGAGGGAUAAGACACCGAAAGGUUUUCUAAUACCGCAUACGGUCUUCGGAUUAAAGCAUUUAUGCGCUGAAGGAGUGGCCUGCGUCAUAUUAGAUAGUUGGUGAGGUAAUGGCUCACCAAGUCGAUGAUGUGUAGCUGGUCUGAGAGGAUGAUCAGCCAGACUGGAACUGAGACACGGUCCAGACUCCUACGGGAGGCAGCAGUGAGGAAUAUUUCACAAUGAGCGAAAGCUUGAUGGAGCAAUGCCGCGUGCAGGAUGAAGGCCCUCGGGUUGUAAACUGCUUUUAUAAGAGAAGAUUAUGACGGUAACUUAUGAAUAAGGGACGGCUAACUACGUG
rnacentral:rRNA from 1 species